UACGAAGGGGACUAGCGUUGUUCGGAAUCACUGGGCGUAAAGCGCACGUAGGCGGAUGUGUCAGUCAGGGGUGAAAUCCCGGGGCUCAACCUCGGAACUGCCUUUGAUACAGCACGUCUCGAGUCCGGAAGAGGUGGGUGGAAUUCCUAGUGUAGAGGUGAAAUUCGUAGAUAUUAGGAAGAACACCGGUGGCGAAGGCGGCCCACUGGUCCGGUACUGACGCUGAGGUGCGAAAGCGUGGGGAGCGAACGGG
rnacentral:rRNA from 1 species